rnacentral:rRNA from 1 species
AACCUGGUUGAUCCUGCCAGUAGUCAUAUGCUCGUCUCAAAGAUUAAGCCAUGCAUGUGUGAGUAUAAGCACUAAGUACUGUGAAACUGCGAAAGGAUCAUUAAAUCAGUAAUCGUUUAAUUGUCGUUGAAAAGGUACAAGGAUACCUGUGGUAAUUCUAGAGCUAAUACAUGCAAACAAUUGUCGAUCUCACGAGAGACAAGCACUUACUAGCCUAAUAAACCAGUGGUCAUUCAUUUGGCCUACUCGGAGGAUUAAUAGUAAUUCCACUUAUCGCACGCUAGGGUGCUUCGGCGCCCAGGGCGAUAGCUCUUGAAAAUUUCUGCCCUAUCAACUGUCGAUGGUAUCGUAGUGGGUUACCAUGGUGUUGACGGGUGACGGGGAAUCAGGGUUCGAUUCCGGAGAGGGAGCACGAGAAACGGCUACCACAUCUAAGGAAGGCAGCAGGCACGAAAAUUACCCAAUCCCAACUCGGGGAGGUAGUGACAAGAAAUAACGAUACGGGGCCUUAUACAAGGUCUCGCAAUCGGAAUGAGCACAUCUUAAAUCCUUUAGCGAGGAUCAAUUGGAGGGCAAGUCUGGUGCCAGCAGCCGCGGUAAUUCCAGCUCCAAUAGCGUAUAUUAAAGUUGUUGCAGUUAAAAAGCUCGUAGUUGGAUCUGCCAGUCGUGGGCGCGUCGGUCUCGGCCGUGAGGCUGAGUUCACUGACCGUCCGCGUCGUUUACAUCGAUUGUCGUGGAGCGUGGCUUCCGAGCCGCGUCUACUCGACUAGUUUACCUUGAGAAAAUUAGAGUGUUCAAAGCAGGAUCUGUUUAACGCGUCCGCAUACAAUGAGCAUGGUAUAAGUGAAGAUGGCUUCGGUUCGCACUACGUUUGUUGGUUUAAAGUGCCGAAGCAAUGACUGAAAGGGGCAGUUGGGGACAUCCGUAUUUCGUAGUCAGAGGUGAAAUUCUUGGACCUACGAAAGACGCACUACAGCGAAAGCAUUUGUCAAGAAUGCUUUCUUCAGUCAAGAACGAAAGUUUGAGGAUCGAAGACGAUCAGAUACCGUCCUAGUUUUAACCGUAAACGCUGUCGUCUAGGGAUCAGAUGGCGUAAGAAGUGAUCGCCUCGCGCGAUCACAACCCAUUUGGCACCUCACGGGAAACCAUUAAGUGUUUGGAUUCCGGGGGAAGUAUAGUCGCAAGGCCGAAACUUAAAGGAAUUGACGGAAGGGCACCACCAGGAGUGGAGCCUGUGGCUUAAUUUGACUCAACACGGGACAACUUACCAGGUCCAGACAUAGCAAGGAUUGACAGGUUGAGAGUCCUUUCUCGAUUCUAUGGGUGGUGGUGCAUGGCCGUUCUUAGUUGGUGGAGUGAUUUGUCUGGUUAAUUCCGAUAACGAACGAGACCUUGAUCAGCUAACUAGUUGUACUCGUGCUUCGGCACGGUGCACUCGUCUUCGGGCGAGCGAAAAACUUCUUAGAGGGACUGUUGAUACGUAUACAGACAAUCAAAGUGAGGAAGGCAAUAACAGGUCUGUGAUGCCCUUAGAUGUCCUGGGCUGCACGCGCGUUACACUGUUGGAGGCAACGAGCUCGGUGGCGGCCGUCGUCUCAGCGAUGGGGUGGCGCGCCGUCGAUAUCUCCUUGGCCGAAAGGUCUGGGUAAUCUGUAACAAACUCCAACGUGAUGGGGAUAGAUCAUUGCAACUAUUGAUCUUGAACGAGGAAUUCCUAGUAAGGGCUAGUCAUCAACUAGCGUUGAUUACGUCCCUGCCCUUUGUACACACCGCCCGUCGCUACUACCGAUUGAAUGUUUUAGUGAGAUCUUCGGAUCGACAGUUCUGUGGCCCUCGGGUCUGAUCAGUCGAGAAGUUGCUCGAACUUGAGCCUUUAGAGGAAGUAAAAGUCGUAACAAGGUUUCCGUAGGUGAACCUGCGGAAGGAUCA